rnacentral:rRNA from 1 species
GAAGAAGCACCGGCUAACUCCGUGCCAGCAGCCGCGGUAAUACGGAGGGUGCGAGCGUUAAUCGGAAUUACUGGGCGUAAAGGGUGCGUAGGUGGUUGAUUAAGUUAUCUGUGAAAUUCCUGGGCUUAACCUGGGACGGUCAGAUAAUACUGGUUGACUCGAGUAUGGGAGAGGGUAGUGGAAUUUCCGGUGUAGCGGUGAAAUGCGUAGAGAUCGGAAGGAACACCAGUGGCGAAGGCGGCUACCUGGCCUAAUACUGACACUGAGGCACGAAAGCGUGGGGAGCAAACAGGAUUAGAUACCCUGGUAGUCCACGCUGUAAACGAUGUCAACUAGCUGUUGGUUAUAUGAAAAUAAUUAGUGGCGCAGCAAACGCGAUAAGUUGACCGCCUGGGGAGUACGGUCGCAAGAUUAAAACUCAAAGGAAUUGACGG